AGGGUGUAAACGCUGCAGACUUGGUGUUGGAAAUCCUUCGAGGGUAUUCAGUACCGGAGAGAAGUUGUUAAGUCUGCUACUUGGGGAGUACGUCCGCAAGGAUGAAACUUAAAGGAAUUGGCGGGGGAGCACCGCAACGGGAGGAGCGUGCGGUUUAAUUGGAUUCAACACCGGAAAACUCACCAGGGGAGACUGUUACAUGAAACCCAGACUAAUGGUCUUGGUUGAUUUUCAGAGAGGAGGUGCAUGGCGUCAGUGACU
rnacentral:rRNA from 1 species